rnacentral:rRNA from 1 species
UUAGAGAUUCACGACCUAUCAGCUUGUCGGCGAGGUAAGGGCUCACCAAGGCAAUGACGGGUAGCCGACCUGAGAGGGUCAUCGGCCGCACUGGGACUGAGACACUGCCCAGACUCGUACGGGAGGCAGCAGUGGAGGAUCAUUCGCAAUGGGCGAAAGCCGGACGGUGCGACGCCGCGUGAGGGAUGAAGGCCUUAGGGUUGUAAACCUCUGUCAGGAGCCAGGAACGGCGAGGGCGCUAAUAUCGCCUUCGCGUGACCAGCUCCAAAGGAAGCUCCGGCUAAUUACGUGCCAGCAGCCGCGGUAACACGUAGGGAGCAAGCGUUACUCGGAAUUACUGGGCAUAAAGGGCGUGUAGGCGGGUGCGAAAUUCCGGUGUGAAAGCCCUCGGCUCACCCGAGGAAUGCCAUUGGAAAGUGCGUGCCUUGAGUGCGGGAGGGGAGAGUGGAACUCUUGGUGGAGCGGUGAAAUGCGUAGAUAUCAAGAGGAACGCCGGUGGCGAAAGCGACCCUUUGGCCCGUUACUGACGUUGAGGCGCGAAAGCCAGGGUAGCGAACGGGAUUAGAUACCCCGGUAGUCCUGGCCCUAAACGAUGGGCACUGGGUAGUGGCGGUUCUGAUGCCGUCUCUGCCGUAGCUAAUGCGAUAAGUGCCCCGCCUGGGGAGUACGGAAUCGUCGACCGCCAGCCCC